rnacentral:lncRNA from 1 species
CCAGGUGGGUGUGGCAGCUGCAGGGCGGGCCCUGGGAAGGGAAUGCAGGGCAAGGAGGAAAUCCUGCACAGGCCGCACUCUGGCCCGGGCUCUGACAGUCUUAUGGGUGGUUCAGCCAGGCCCACCUGCACCGUUGUGGAAAUACAUCGCUUCCUUAUAGUUGCCGGAUGAGGGGUUUCAUGUCUUCUGCAAAGCGCCUUCUCAGAAACACCUGCACCAUGACGCUUGUCUGGACAGCCGGGCCUGCGGCCAGGCCAGGCCCGCACACUGGAAGCAUCACAGACAGCUUCAUGGGCACAGACGACAAGGUUAGGUGCCUCUUUCUCAAGCCUUGCUGAGCCAUUGUUGAGGACCAGCAUGGAUGCCUGACCUGGAGUGCUCACCACCACUGAGAGGAAGUUGAAUCCAUUGCUCCAACAUGGCAGCUAACUGGUCUACCAUGUACUGAACGCUAUGUCAGAACCCAAAUCAUUAUUCUUUCUUUUUCUUUUUUUUCCCCCGAGGAGAUCCCUCCUUCAAGAUCAC